GAUGAACGCUGGCGGCGUGCCUAAUACAUGCAAGUCGAGCGGACGGACGAGAAGCUUGCUUCUCUGAUGUUAGCGGCGGACGGGUGAGUAACACGUGGAUAACCUACCUAUAAGACUGGGAUAACUUCGGGAAACCGGAGCUAAUACCGGAUAAUAUUUUGAACCGCAUGGUUCAAAAGUGAAAGACGGUCUUGCUGUCACUUAUAGAUGGAUCCGCGCUGCAUUAGCUAGUUGGUAAGGUAACGGCUUACCAAGGCAACGAUGCAUAGCCGACCUGAGAGGGUGAUCGGCCACACUGGAACUGAGACACGGUCCAGACUCCUACGGGAGGCAGCAGUAGGGAAUCUUCCGCAAUGGGGGAAAGCCUGACGGAGCAACGCCGCGUGAGUGAUGAAGGUCUUCGGAUCGUAAAACUCUGUUAUUAGGGAAGAACACAUGUGUAAGUAACUGUGCACAUCUUGACGGUACCUAAUCAGAAAGCCACGGCUAACUACGUG
rnacentral:rRNA from 1 species